rnacentral:lncRNA from 1 species
AAACUUUUAGAUUUUUGUUCGCUUUCUAACCAUUCCUUUGGAUAAAUAGAAGUGCGGUGGCGACUCGACUUGUAUGAUUUACCUUGGAUUUAGUCAAUAUCUCUAAUGGUAACGAAUACCCCGCUACACAUGUCUCACAGCCACAUGAUCAUCUUGAUUUGUUUUAAUCGGAAGCGUGCAUUUGAAUUACCAAUGUUAUGGCGCGCUGACUUGAGUCCAUCGUGGAUAGCACAUUUCUG